UAGGGAAUCUUCGGCAAUGGACGAAAGUCUGACCGAGCAACGCCGCGUGAGUGAAGAAGGGUUUCGGAUCGUAAAACUCUGUUGUUAGAGAAGAACAAGGACGUUAGUAACUGAACGUCCCCUGACGGUAUCUAACCAGAAAGCCACGGCUAACUACGUGCCAGCAGCGGCGGUAAUACGUAGGUGGCAAGCGUUGUCCGGAUUUAUUGGGCGUAAAGCGAGCGCAGGCGGUUUCUUAAGUCUGAUGUGAAAGCCCCCGGCUCAACCGGGGAUGGUCAUUGGAAACUGGGGGACUUGAGUGCAGAAGAGGAGAGUGGAAUUCCAUCUCUAACGUUGAAAUGCGUAGAUAUAUGGAGGAACCCCAGUGGCGAAGUCGGCUCUCUGGUCUGUAACUGACGCUGAGGCUCGAAAGCGUGGGGAGCAAACAGG
rnacentral:rRNA from 1 species